GGGUUGUGAGGUUAAGCGACUAAGCGUACACGGUGGAUGCCCUGGCAGUCAGAGGCGAUGAAGGGCGUGCUAAUCUGCGAUAAGCGCCGGUAAGGUGAUAUGAACCGUUAUAACCGGCGAUACCCGAAUGGGGAAACCCAGUGUGACUCGUCACACUAUCAUUAACUGAAUCCAUAGGUUAAUGAGGCGAACCGGGGGAACUGAAACAUCUAAGUACCCCGAGGAAAAGAAAUCAACCGAGAUUCCCCCAGUAGCGGCGAGCGAACGGGGAGGAGCCCAGAGCCUGAAUCAGCAUGUGUGUUAGUGGAAGCGUCUGGAAAGGCGCGCGAUACAGGGUGACAGCCCCGUACACAAAAGCGCAUGUGCUGUGAGCUCGAUGAGUAGGGCGGGACACGUGGUAUCCUGUCUGAAUAUGGGGGGACCAUCCUCCAAGGCUAAAUACUCCUGACUGACCGAUAGUGAACCAGUACCGUGAGGGAAAGGCGAAAAGAACCCCGGCGAGGGGAGUGAAAAAGAACCUGAAACCGUGUACGUACAAGCAGUGGGAGCACAGGUUUACCUGUGUGACUGCGUACCUUUUGUAUAAUGGGUCAGCGACUUAUAUUCUGUAGCAAGGUUAACCGCAUAGGGGAGCCGGAGGGAAACCGAGUCUUAAUUGGGCGUUAAGUUGCAGGGUAUAGACCCGAAACCCGGUGAUCUAGCCAUGGGCAGGUUGAAGGUUGGGUAACACUAACUGGAGGACCGAACCGACUAAUGUUGAAAAAUUAGCGGAUGACCUGUGGCU
rnacentral:rRNA from 1 species